rnacentral:rRNA from 1 species
UCAGCUUGUUGGUGAGGUAAUGGCUCACCAAGGCGUCGACGGGUAGCCGGCCUGAGAGGGUGACCGGCCACACUGGGACUGAGACACGGCCCAGACUCCUACGGGAGGCAGCAGUGGGGAAUAUUGCACAAUGGGCGGAAGCCUGAUGCAGCAACGCCGCGUGAGGGAUGACGGCCUUCGGGUUGUAAACCUCUUUUAGCAAGGAAGAAGCGAAAGUGACGGUACUUGCAGAAAAAGCGCCGGCUAACUACGUGCCAGCAGCCGCGGUAAUACGUAGGGCGCAAGCGUUAUCCGGAAUUAUUGGGCGUAAAGAGCUCGUAGGCGGUUUGUCGCGUCUGCUGUGAAAACUGGAGGCUCAACCUCCAGCCUGCAGUGGGUACGGGCAGACUAGAGUGCGGUAGGGGAGAUUGGAAUUCCUGGUGUAGCGGUGGAAUGCGCAGAUAUCAGGAGGAACACCGAUGGCGAAGGCAGAUCUCUGGGCCGUAACUGACGCUGAGGAGCGAAAGGGUGGGGAGCAAACAGGCUUAGAUACCCUGGUAGUCCACCCCGUAAACGUUGGGAACUAGUUGUGGGGGCCAUUCCACGGUCUCCG